rnacentral:rRNA from 1 species
UGGGGAAUAUUGCACAAUGGAGGGAACUCUGAUGCAGCGACGCCGCGUGAACGAAGAAGGCUUUCGAGUCGUAAAGUUCUUUUAUAUGGGAAGAUAAUGACGGUACCAUAAGAAAAAGCUCCGGCUAACUACGUGCCAGCAGCCGCGGUAAUACGUAGGGGGCUAGCGUUGUCCGGAAUCACUGGGCGUAAAGGGUUCGCAGGCGGAAAUGCAAGUCAGGUGUAAAAGGCAGUAGCUUAACUACUGUAAGCAUUUGAAACUGCAUAUCUUGAGAAGAGUAGAGGUGAGUGGAAUUUUUAGUGUAGCGGUGAAAUGCGUAGAUAUUAAAAAGAAUACCAAUGGCGAAGGCGGCUUACUGGGCUCAUUCUGACGCUGAGGAACGAAAGCGUGAGUAGCAAACAGG